AAGACUAUACUUCACAGGAUCAUUUCCGUAGUUAGUGUUCAAUUACUUUCUUUGCAAAAUGAAAACCCAAAAAAUAUAUU
rnacentral:snoRNA from 1 species